CUGAACCGGUCCAUGAAAUUCGACGCCAUAUUUACCCAGUUAGACCAUUUCUUGGGAUCCUGGCUGAUGUACCAAGACAAAGAAUCUUCAGUAAGACUCCUCAUAAAGAGUUUCUUCCGGAUCUUUUCAUCCUUUCCAACCCCGACGAGCUUGUCACAAUAUGACCUCAAAUGAACCCUGGGACACCUGUACCAUCAAACAUCUCGAACUUGGGAGGUUUAUACCCUUUUGGGAGUUCUAAGUCUAGUUGUAUGCAUAGGUCUUCAUAGUUAAACCCUUCUAUUCAUUUGCCACCUUCGACACCCUGAACUCAGCUCGUCAACUUCUUGAGUUCUUCAACCAUGCUUUUAAUGAGCAGGUUCUUCUUGGAGGAUUCCACUAUAUAGGAGUUUGGUUGGAUAGUGUGAGGUACGAUUUCUACGUAUAUAAUGUUGCUUUGAU
rnacentral:lncRNA from 1 species